rnacentral:tRNA from 1 species
GCCGGGCUGGUUUAGUAGGUAGAGCAUGUGACUUUUGAUCUCAGGGUCUUGAGUUUAAACCCCAUGUUGGGCU